rnacentral:rRNA from 1 species
CCCCUAAGGCGAGGCCGAAAGGCGUAGUCGAUGGGAAACGGGUUAAUAUUCCCGUACUUCUUACAAUUGCGAUGGGGGGACGGAGAAGGCUAGGUGGGCCUGGCGACGGUUGUCCAGGUUCAAGUGCGUAGGCUUAAGAGUUAGGUAAAUCCGGCUCUUUUUAAGGCUGAGACACGAUGUCGAGCAUCUACGGAUGUGAAGUCAUUGAUGCCAUGCUUCCAGGAAAAGCCUCUAAGCUUCAGAUUGUAAGGAAUCGUACCCCAAACCGACACAGGUGGUCGGGUAGAGAAUACCAAGGCGCUUGAGAGAACUCGGGUGAAGGAACUAGGCAAAAUGGUACCGUAACUUCGGGAGAAGGUACGCUCUUGAUGGUGAAGUCCCUUGCGGAUGGAGCUGACGAGAGUCGCAGAUACCAGGUGGCUGCAACUGUUUAUUAAAAACACAGCACUGUGCAAAAUCGUAAGAUGACGUAUACGGUGUGACGCCUGCCCGGUGCCGGAAGGUUAAUUGAUGGGGUUAGACUUCGGUCGAAGCUCUUGAUCGAAGCCCCGGUAAACGGCGGCCGUAACUAUAACGGUCCUAAGGUAGCGAAAUUCCUUGUCGGGUAAGUUCCGACCUGCACGAAUGGCGUAAUGAUGGCCACGCUGUCUCCACCCGAGACUCAGUGAAAUUGAAAUCGCUGUGAAGAUGCAGUGUACCCGCGGCUAGACGGAAAGACCCCGUGAACCUUUACUACAGCUUGGCACUGAACAUUGACCCUACAUGUGUAGGAUAGGUGGGAGGCUUUGAAGCACGUACGCCAGUAUGUGUGGAGCCGUCCUUGAAAUACCACCCUUGUAGUGUUGAUGUUCUAACGU